AACUGCGACCCCAGGUCAG
rnacentral:rRNA from 2 species